AUUGAACGCUAGCGGGAUGCUUUACACAUGCAAGUCGAACGAGUGGCGGACGGGUGAGUAAUAUAUCGGAACGUGCCCAGUAGCGGGGGAUAACUACUCGAAAGAGUGGCUACUACCGCAUAACAUUGGCGCGGCCGAUAGCGGAUUAGCUAGUUGGUGGGGUAAAGGCUAACCAAGGCAACGAUCCGUAGCUGGUUUUAGAGGACGACCAGCCACACUGGGACUGAGACACGGCCCAGACUCCUACGUGAGGCAGCAGUGGGGAAUAUUGGACAAUGGGGGAAACCCUGAGCCAGCCAAGCAGCGUGUAUGAGAAGGCCUUCGGGUUGUAAAGUACUUUUGGCAGAGAAGCGGUAUCUGCAUAAUAAGCACCGGCUAACUACGUGCCAGCAGCCGCGGUAAUUC
rnacentral:rRNA from 1 species